rnacentral:rRNA from 1 species
CCUACGGGUGGCAGCAGUGGGGAAUAUUGCACAAUGGGGGUAACCCUGAUGCAGCGACGCCGCGUGAGUGAAGAAGUAUUUCUGUAUGUAAAGCUCUAUCAGCAGGGAAGAAGAAAGACGGUACCUUACUAAUAAGCCCCUGCUAAAUCCGUGCACGCAGGCGAAGUAAUACGUAGGGGGCAAGCGUUAUCCGGAUGUCCUGGGUGUAAAGGGAGAGUAGACGGCUGUGCAAGUCUGAGGUGAAAGCCCAGGGCUCAACCAUGGGAGUGCUUUGGAACCUGUGGAGCUAGAGUGCUUGUGAGGUAAGUGGAAUGCCUAGUGUAGCGGUGAAAUGCGUAGAUAUUAGGAGGAACACCAGUGGCGAAGGCGGCUUACUGGACAGUAACUGACGUUGAGGCUCGAAAGCGUGGGGAGCAAACAGGAUUAGAUACCCGAGUAGUC